UACGAAGGGGGCUAGCGUUGCUCGGAAUCACUGGGCGUAAAGGGUGCGUAGGCGGGUUUUUAAGUCAGAGGUGAAAUCCUGGAGCUCAACUCCAGAACUGCCUUUGAUACUGAAAGUCUUGAGUAUGGGAGAGGUGAGUGGAACUGCGAGUGUAGAGGUGAAAUUCGUAGAUAUUCGCAAGAACACCAGUGGCGAAGGCGGCUCACUGGCCCGGUACUGACGCUGAGGAGCGAAAGCGUGGGGAGCGAACAGG
rnacentral:rRNA from 1 species